AACGCACGAGACCUGCGGACCUGCGGAGGGAUCAUUAAUGUUACCUCAUCCAAAAACUUGCUGUCAGAUGGGGGGGGAAGAGUUUUCUCAACUUUCCCUCUGACAACAAAAGCACCUGUGAACAAGGUUAAAGUCCUUAACAGCAUCCUUAACCGCGAUGCUGUUAAAGCACCCUUUUCAUAUUAUACCUGUCUAACAUUAAAUGAGUUAAGAGAGAGAGAAGAGAGAGAUCUUUUUUUC
rnacentral:misc_RNA from 1 species